CUCUUCUUCUUCUUCUUCUUCUUCCUGUCCGGUUGCUUCUCCUCCGUCUGCGGCAGCCUGAUGACGUUCAGCUCCUCCGUGUUCUCCGUGUUCUCCGUGUUCUCCGUCAUACAGUCGAACCUGCUAACAGCAGCUGGUGGUUCAACAUGUGGAGCCGCCGGAUGUGACCAGAGUUCUUCUUCAUGUGUUUCCGUGCUCCCACAGGAGCAGAAUGAGAGCAGCGUUGGAAUAAACCAGAAUGAUGCUUUAGGAGUCAGUCAGGUGUAAACAGGAAGCAGGAUGUGCGUCAGCCAGCAGUUCAACAGGAGCUCUGCAGGAGCUCUGCAGGAGCUCUGCAGGACGCUGCAGGACGGGUUCUAACCAGCCGCUCCACCACCUGUCCACCACCAACACCCAGCAGUCUGAUCUGUAUUUCAUCUGUCCUGUGGUGCUGUGUCACUAGGGCUGGGGAUCCUUUGGGUGCUAAAGCCAUAUAUUUACGGAGCUGUAAACCAGUGGUUCCCAUCCUGGGGUCUGGGCGCCAAAGAUCACGGGGGGGGAGGGCAACCAGGAUUUGUCUGCUCUGAGGUUGUCAAAAUUUGAUUUAAAAUGUACAACUAAAAUUAUAAUAAGACACUUAGUGGAUCAUUUAUUCAAAAGUCUGAAUAUAAAACAAUUGAAAAAGGAGAGAAAUAAACAUUACAGUAACAGAAUAUUGAUUCAUAUCUGAUCAGAGUUGGUGAGUGAUUGACAGCUGCUCAGA